rnacentral:miRNA from 1 species
CGGGCGUGGUGGUGGGGGUG